UGGAGAGGGGUAUCACUGCCAAGGAGCAGCAGGUUAGUGAUCGUCCAAUCGGUCCUCUGCGCCAUCCCAAUUCACGCCAUGCUCGCUCUCCAACUACCACCCAAGACGGUCAGGGUGAUUGAUAAGAUAUGUUGAGGAUUCUUAUGGUCUGGCGCUGGCGAGGACAAUGGUAGGCAAUGCAUGGUGUCUUGGAAAACAGUAUGUAUGCCAACGUGGGCGGGUGGCCUCCACAUUCCCGACUUACAACGGCUGAACCUGGCACUGCAAGCGAGGUUCCCUUGGUUGCAGGGUACUGAUGACUCCCGAUGUAAGGGGCUUGACAUUAGGGUUCUAGUAGAGGCAAAAAGGAUAUUAAGCAGCCACAAUCACUAUUGGUGGGUGAUACCUCCAUUUUGCAUCAUGUUUUUCUACUUUUAUUUAUAA
rnacentral:rRNA from 1 species